rnacentral:rRNA from 1 species
CAGUAGCCACGGUAAUACGUAGGUCCCGAGCGUUGUCCGGAUUUAUUGGGCGUAAAGCGAGCGCAGGCGGUUAGAUAAGUCUGAAGUUAAAGGCUGUGGCUUAACCAUAGUACGCUUUGGAAACUGUUUAACUUGAGUGCAAGAGGGGAGAGUGGAAUUCCAUGUGUAGCGGUGAAAUGCGUAGAUAUAUGGAGGAACACCAGUGGCGAAGGCGGCUUUUUGGCCUGUAACUGACACUGAGGCGCGAAAGCGUGGGGAGCAAACAGGAUUAGAUACCCCAGUAGUCCCUGUCUCUUAUACA